rnacentral:misc_RNA from 1 species
AAGUCGUAACAAGGUUUCCGUAGGUGAACCUGCGGAAGGAUCAUUAAAGAGUAAGGGUGCUCAGCGCCCGACCUCCAACCCUUUGUUGUUAUAACUACCUUGUUGCUUUGGCGGGACCGCUCGGUCUCGAGCCGCUGGGGAUUCGUCCCAGGCGAGCGCCCGCCAGAGUUAAACCAAACUCUUGUUAUUUAACCGGUCGUCUGAGUUAAAAUUUUGAAUAAAUCAAAA